GUCGUGGGUAGCCUCGAAUCACAGCAACCACGUCCCUCCCUUGUCCGCCGCCGCACCGCCGUUCUUCUCCUACUCUCUCUCUCUUCUGCGACGUUCCUCCUUCCUAUUGGCACGCCUCGCCCCAUCUUCCAUCCUGACGUUCUUCUUCAACACCCCCUCCUCGGCUAGAUGGCGCCUUUGGUGGUGAAGGAGUAGGGGAGGGCUAAGAGGCCAGCGGUGUGGGGUGGAGCAGCGAGGCCGGCGACCCAGGCGGCGGACGCCUCAUGGGGUGGAGGAGAGGCUGGUGAUAGGGAAGGAGCAGAAUCCUCAUGGAGCGGCAGGGAAGGUGAAGUCCCGACGACUGAAGAUGGUGCGCACGGGAGGAGCUCGGAUGAUGUCAAGGACGUUUAGCAGGCGUGACUUAGGAUCGAACCCUUGAUGGAGUUUAAGCAUGGUCCGGGCUGCAGUAGGAGGAAGGUGCCAAGGAGCUGCGACGCGGUGCCGAGAUGAUCAGGUCGAGCAUGAUGCGCUUGAUGGGGAUGUGCAACGAUGCGAGUGUGCCGAUCGGGGGAGAAUAAAUAUGCAAGACGCCCGGUGACUGGAGCUGGGUGACCCUGUGAUCCUGUGUUGGUGUUCUGGUUCUUUUGUGGGUGUCUCAUGUCCUUGCCUGUAGUAGUUCACAUGUAUGCUGUGAUAUUUUGGUGCUGCCCAGGUUUUCACCCCAUUGGCAUUCGUUCCGAUGGCGGGCGAAUGCAGUGGGUUUCCUGGCAGUGCCCGCACUCGCUCUACCUCUUUCCCUCUUCUCCUGACAUGUUUCCAAACCUUUUGUAUUUCCGUUUAUUUGCAAUGGAAAGGGGUAUAGCCCGGUUCGAAAAAAAACCUAAAGUCUUGCCUACCAAAAUUGAAAGGGGUAUAGCCCGGUUCGAAAAAAAACCUAAAGUCUUGCCUACCAAAAUUGUAUCAUUCAUCC
rnacentral:rRNA from 1 species